AUUGAACGCUGGCGGCAGGCUUAACACAUGCAAGUCGAGCGGAGAUGAGGUGCUUGCACCUUAUCUUAGCGGCGGACGGGUGAGUAAUGCUUAGGAAUCUGCCUAUUAGUGGGGGACAACAUUCCGAAAGGAAUGCUAAUACCGCAUACGCCCUACGGGGGAAAGCAGGGGAUCUUCGGACCUUGCGCUAAUAGAUGAGCCUAAGUCGGAUUAGCUAGUUGGUGGGGUAAAGGCCUACCAAGGCGACGAUCUGUAGCGGGUAUGAGAGGAUGAUCCGCCACACUGGGACUGAGACACGGCCCAGACCCCUACGGGAGGCAGCAGUGGGGAAUAUUGGACAAUGGGCGGAAGCCUGAUCCAGCCAUGCCGCGUGUGUGAAGAAGGCCUUUUGGUUGUAAAGCACUUUAAGCGAGGAGGAGGCUACCUGGAUUAAUACUCUAGGAUAGUGGACGUUACUCGCAGAAUAAGCACCGGCUAACUCUGUGCCAGCAGCCGCCGUAACAC
rnacentral:rRNA from 1 species